GGAGGCGGGCUGCGCUAUUGUGAAAGGGGCUGCAGCCGCCUAGAGGGGGGCAGGGAAGGGGCGCGGGGGCCGGGGGCCGGCGAAGGGAGGCCGGGGCUGAGGGGCGAGGACGGAGGAGCGCGCGGAGGAGCGCGGCGAAGCAGUCCCACGCGGGUAUAGAAGAGAAUGAAGUUCUUUGUCUCUAAGGAAUCCAAACCAGAAACGGAGGGACCUCUUCUUCCCAGAGGGAGGAAAAUCCAUGAUGUCUGCUGCCUAGGGAGCUAUUGCCACCGCCUCCUUGGGAUGAAGUAUUGCCAGCUACCGACAGUUUCUUCCCAACGGCCAUCUUCCCAGCCUUCUUAAAGGACUCCUAGCAUCUUCGGGAGGCUGCUGAAGGACUGAAGCAAAGGAAAUCUCUGAAGGAAUUUAGCCCUUGAAAGGGAGUAGGGAUACUUAGGGUGUUCUAUGUUGAGCGCUUCUAUCUCUCCAAGUUCAUGUAUGUGUGUCUUUACGUCCAAGCAAUUGAGCCAACAAGUCUUCAAAGAACUCCUCGUUUAAAAAAAAAAAAAAUUUUUUUUUUUUUCUGAUGCAGAGUCUCGGUCUGACGCCCAGGCUGGAGUGCAGUGAUGCAAUCUUGGCUCACUGCAACCUCCGCCUCCCGGGGUCAAGCGAAUCUCCUGCCUCAGCCUCCUGAGUAGAGUAGUUGGGAUUACAGGUGCCUAUCACCACACUGUACUAAUUUUUUGUAUUUUUAGUAGAGACCAGGUUUUACCAUGUUGGCCAGGCUAGUCUCCAACGCCUGACCUCAAGUGAUCUGCCUGCGUCAGCCUCCCAAAGUCCUAGGAUUACAGAUCUGAGCCACCGAGGCCGACCCAAAAAACUUUGAAAUAGUCUUUUUUUUUUUUAGACUAAAUUUUGCUCUUGUUGCCCAGGCUAGGGUGCACUGGCGUGAUCUUGACUCACCACACCUCUGCCUCCUAGUUUCAAGUUAUUCUUGAGCUGCCUCAGCCUCCAGCUUCCAGAGCAGCUGAGAUUACAGGCAUGUGUCACCAUGUCCAGCUAAUUUUGUAUUUUUAGUAAAUACGGGGUUUCACCAUGUUCAUCAAGCUGGUCUCAAACACCCAACCUCUGGUGAUUUGCCUGCCCCGAUCUCCCAAAGUGCUGGGAUUACAGGUGUGAGCCACUGUACCUGGCCCUGAAAUGGUCUUAAUUGCUUGUUUUUCUUUUCUGGCUGAGGUGUGCUUUUUAAAAUAUGGAGAUGGAGAAGACUGACAUCCUCUGGCCUGAUGUGAAAACCUCUCAUUAAAACUGUGUCUCUGCUUUGUGGGCCCAAUGCAUGAAACACUGGAAAUUUUAUUUAUUUUAUUUUUUUGAGAUGGAGUUCCGCUUGUUACCCAGGCUGGAGUGCAAUGGUGCGAUCUCGGCUCACCGCAACCUCCGCCUCCUGGGUUCAAGCAAUUCUCCUGCCUCAGCCUCCCGAGUAGCUGGGACUACAGGCGCGCACCACCAUGCCCAGCUAAUUUUUUUGUUGUAUUUUUAGUAGAGACGGGGUUUCAUCAUGUUGACCAGGAUGGUCUCGAUCUCUUGACCUCGUGAUCCACCCGCCUCGGCCUCCCAACGUGCUGGGAUUAUAGGCAUGAGCCACCGCGCCCGGCCGAUACUGGAAAUUUUAAACAAAUGGGUAUGAGUGUAUUGAAGCCAAGAGAGCCCAGCCCUCUUCCACCAGACUGUGGCCUCAGAUCAGCAAGGGAAGUAUUGAGCUUAGGGAUACCAAGGAAUGGAGUAGGCAGGGAUGAGAGGGCACAUGGAAUAUGGUGAGCUUUUUCCAUGCCAAGGCUUUCUCGUGUAUUUGUGGCACUUAGUCUUGCUGCGUCACCAAGGCUAGCGUAUGGUGGCACAAUUAUGGUUCACUGCAGCCUCAACCUCCUGGGCUGAAGCAGUCCUUCCAUCUCAGUGUCCUGAGUAGCUGGGACAACAGGCAUGGGCUGCCACAUGACUAACUUAUUAUUUUUUGUAGAGACAGGGUCUCCUUUGUUGCCCAGGCUGGUCUUGAACUCCUGGGCUCAAAGUGAUCCUCCCACCUUGGACUCCCACGGUGGUGGGAUUAUAGGAGGGAGCCACUGUGCCCAGCCCUCAGUGUCAAGACUUUCUGCACCAUCUCUAUACUGACAGCUCCCUAAUUUAUAUUUCUUUCUGAUCUCAUUCCCUAACUCUAGAAUCAUAUAUCCAAUUAUCUAAUAUACAUAUCCAAUUAUCUAAUAUACAUAAUAUACAGUUGGAGGUCUAAUAGGCAUUUCAAACUUAUAUCUAAGAAUCAAGCUCCCGAAUUCCUUCCACCCAAAUCCCAUUUCUACAGUCUUCCUCUCUUUGUCACCCCAUAUGUGAUUAGUCAGCCAAUCCUAUUGCCUUUCAAAAUACAUGUCCCAAAUCCCACACCUUCUCAACACGUCCACAACUUCCACUUCGACUGACGCCAUAUAAUCCUAUCUCACUUUUUUUCUUUCUUUCUUUUUCUUUUUUCUUUUUUUUUUUUUUUUUUUGAGACGGAGUUUCGCUCUUGUUACCCAGGCUGGAGUGCAAUGGCGCUAUCUCGGCUCACCGCAACCUCCGCCUCCUGGGUUCAGGCAAUUCUCCUGCCUCAGCCUCCUGAGUUGCUGGGAUUACAAGCAUGUGCCACUAUGUCCAGCUAAUUUUUUGUAUUUUUAAUAGAGACGGGGUUUCACCAUGUUGACCAGGAUGGUCUCGAUCUCUUGACCUCGUGAUCCACCCACCUCAGCCUCCCAAAGUGCUGGGAUUACAGGCUUGAGCCACUGUGCCCGGCCUAUCUCACUUUUUUAAAUUGCAGUAACUUUGUAAUUGAUUUCUCAGUUUCAAUCUUUGUCUUCCCCCACUUAAGUCUACUCAGCAGCCACAGUGAUCCUGGUAAGAUGGGAGUGAGAUCGGAUUUUUCUCCACUCAGAACUCUCUGGUGGCCUCCAUCUCACUUGGAGUAAAAGUAAAAUCAUAAGGCUUGUAGGACCUGGUUCUCAGUACUGCUCUCUGACUUCAGCUCCUACUGUAACUCUGUUGGCUAUUCCUUCUACUUAGAUCCCUCCUCCUCCAGAUAUCUACAUGGCUUCCUCACUUACCUCCUUCAGCUCUUGACUGUAUGUCAGCUGAGACCUCUGGCCACCCUGUGUAUACUGUAUACACACAGCCUUUUCCAAACUGCCGCUUCCCUUUUUCUGCUUAAUUUUUCUCCUUAGCACUUAUUACCUGUAAUUUACCUUAUUACCUUAUCCUUCCCCACUGCAAUGUAAAUUUCAUGGUUUUGGGGGCUUUGCGUUUUGAGAUGGAGUCUCACUCUGUUACCCAGGCUGGAGUGCAGUGGUGCGAUCUUGGCUCACCGCAAACUUUGCCUCCCAGGUUCUAGUGAUUCUCCUGCCUCAGAUGCCCGAGUAGCUGGAAUCACAGGUGUGCACCAUUACACCUGGUUAAUUUCUGUAUUUUUAGUAGAGAUGGGGUUUCACCAUGUUGGCCAGGCUGGUCUCAAACUCUUGACUUCAAGUGAUCUGCAUGCCUCGACCUCUCAAAGUCCUGGUUUUAUAGGCGUGAGCCACCACGCCUGGCUGCUUCAUGUUUUGUUACUGCUGUAUCCUCAGCACCUAGAACCAUACCUGCCACAAAGUAGCAUUUAAUAAACAUUGGUUAAAUUAGUAAAUAAGCUGUUUAGAUAUAUUAAGAGAAAGCAUCUACCUUUGACCUUUAGCUUGACUGAGAGUGGCAGUUAUAUUAAAAAAAAUAGGGCAGGGUGUGGUGGCUCACACCUGUAAUCUCAACACUGGGAGACCAAGGCAGGAGGAUCACCUGUGGCCAGGAGUUUGGGACCAGCCUGGGAAACAGUGAGACCCUGUCUCUGCCAAAAAUUUUAAAAUUAUUUCUGGGCACUGUGGCUCACCUGUAAUCUUAGCACUUUGGGAGGCUAAGGCACACAGAUUACUUGAGGUCAGAAGUUUGAGACCAGCCUGGCCAACACAGUAAAAACCCCCCAUCUCUACUAAAAAUAUAAAAAUUAGCCAGGCGUAGUGGCACGUGCCUGUAAUCCCAGCUAUUCGGGAGGCUGAGAUAGGUGAAUCACUUGAACCCGGGAGGCAGAAGUUGCAGCAAGCCAAGAUCAAGCCACUGCACUCCAGCAUGAGUAACAGAGUGAGACUCAGUCUGGAAAAAAAAAAAAAAAAAAAAGCCAAGCAUAGUGGUGCAUGCCUGUAGUCCUAGCUACUUAAGAGGCUAAGGUGGGGGGACUAUUUGAGCCCAGGAGGCUGAGGUUAUAGUGAGCUAUGAUCACACUACUGAUCUCCAGGCUGGUUGAUAGAGCAACACUCUAUCUCUUAAAAAAAAAAAAGUGAAAUCUAGAGAAGAAUAAAUUUGGGAACAAAUGUGAACAUACUAUCUGGAGGAAAUUAAGGAGGAAGUGAUAACUAGGUGGGCCUUGGAGGUUGAGAUCAUAGGCCAUUUCAGGCAGAGGUAAGAACAUUGCAAAGGCAUGGCAUGAAAGGAUGUAAUUGGGCCGGGCUGGGUGUAUGAUAGCUCAUGCCUAUAAUCGCAGGAUGUUGGGAGGCCGAGACAGGCGGAUCACCUGAGGUCAGGAGUUCGGGACCAGCCUGGCCAACAUGGUGAAACCCCGUCUCUACUGAAAAUACAAAAAUUAGCUGGGUGCAGUGGUGUGCACCUGUAGUCCCUGCUACUAGGGAGGCUGAGGCAGGAAAAUCACUUGAACCCAGAAGGUGGAGGUUGCAGUGAGCCAAGACUGCACCACUGCACUCCAGCCUGGAUGACAAGAGUGUAACUCCAUUUCAAAAAAAAAAAAGGAUGUAAUUGUAGAAAACGAGAGAAGUUCGCUGGAGUGUAGUUCUAGAUAGUGGGGGAUAUAAGGGAUAAGACACAUUGAGGCCAGAUUAUGAAGGUCUGAAGGCCCAGUUAAGGAGUGUAUUUUUUUUUUUUUUUUGAGAUGCAGUUUUGCUCUUGUUGCCCACCUAGAGUGCAAUGGCAUGAUCUCAGCUCACUGCAACCUCUGCCUCCUGGGUUCAAGCGAUUCUCCUGCCUCAGCCUCCUGAGUAGCUGGAAUUACAGGCAUGCACCACCACACUCCACUAAUUUUGUAUUUUUAGUAGAGAUGGGGUUUCUCCAUGUUGGUCAGGCUGUUCUUGAAAUCCCGACCUCAGGUGAUCCACCCACUUCAGCCUCCCAAAGUGCUGGGAUUGUGGGCGUGAGCCACUGCACCCGGCAAGGAAUGUAUAAUUUAUCAGCCUUGGUGAAACAUCAGAGGAUUUCCACCAAAGCAUAGAAUGAUUAGGUUUGUGUAUCUGGAAAGGUAACUUCAAUAUUUGUGUCUCUGCAACAAAAGCAGGAGGCCAACUUAAAGACUGUUAGUGCAGGUGUGAGAUGAUGAGUAGUAAAGAUACUAGUGGCAUGGAGAUAUAGAGGAAAUAACAGGAGGAAAUUCAGCUGUUAAGAGCAAAGGUUCUGAUGUGAAACUGCAAACAGCAAUCACAGUUCUCCCAUUUAGUGGCUGUCUGUUAUUUAAUUUCUACUUCAGUUUGCUUAUCUGUUAAAUGACUAUACUGAUACCUUACUUCACAGGGUUAUUGUGAGGAUUAAAUGAGAUAAUCCAUGUAAAAUGUUUAUCAUAGCAUGUGGCAUCUGGUAAUGCUUGAUAAUGUAGUUAUCACAUUAUUACUAAUUGGCAGGAUUUGUUGAUCAAUAUAAAGGGCACUGAGGGAGAAGGAGGGCUUUCCCAUUAAAUUUCUAAGAUUAACCAGAUGGCAAUUCCAUGAAUAAAUCACAUGUUUUCUUCUUCUCUA